AAGGGCCAUCGCUCAAAGGAUAAAAGGUACCCCGGGGAUAACAGGCUGAUCUCCCCCAAGAGCUCACAUCGACGGGGAGGUUUGGCACCUCGAUGUCGGCUCAUCGCAUCCUGGGGCUGGAGCAGGUCCCAAGGGUUUGGCUGUUCGCCAAUUAAAGCGGUACGCGAGCUGGGUUCAGAACGUCGUGAGACAGUUCGGUCCCUAUCUUCCGUGGGCGCAGGAGCGUUGAGGAGAGCUAUCUCUAGUACGAGAGGACCGAGAUGGACGCGCCUCUGGUGAACCAGUCGUCCUGCCAAGGGCGCCGCUGGGUAGCUAAGCGCGGAUGUGAUAACCGCUGAAAGCAUAUAAGCGGGAAGCCGACUCCAAGAUGAACGCUCCCUGAAGGCGUCAGAUAGACUAUCUGUUUGAUAGGUCGGAGGUGUAAGCGCAGCAAUGCGUUCAGCUGACCGAUACUAAUACGCCGAUCGGCUUUUAUUG
rnacentral:rRNA from 1 species